UACGGGGGGGGCAAGCGUUGUUCGGAAUUACUGGGCGUAAAGGGCUCGUAGGCGGCCAACUAAGUCAUACGUGAAAUCCCUCGGCUUAACCGGGGAACUGCGUCUGAUACUGGAUGGCUUGAGUUCGGGAGAGGGAUGCGGAAUUCCAGGUGUAGCGGUGAAAUGCGUAGAUAUCUGGAGGAACACCGGUGGCGAAGGCGGCAUCCCGGACCGAUACUGACGCUGAUGAGCGAAAGCCAGGGGAGCAAACGGG
rnacentral:rRNA from 1 species